rnacentral:rRNA from 1 species
AACGAACGCUGGCGGCAUGCCUAACACAUGCAAGUCGAACGAGGCCUUCGGGUCUAGUGGCGCACGGGUGCGUAACGCGUGGGAACCUGCCCUUAGGUUCGGAAUAACUCCCCGAAAGGGGUGCUAAUACCGGAUAAUGUCUUCGGACCAAAGAUUUAUCGCCUUUGGAUGGGCCCGCGUUGGAUUAGCUAGUUGGUAGGGUGAAAGCCUACCAAGGCGACGAUCCAUAGCUGGUCUGAGAGGAUGAUCAGCCACACUGGGACUGAGACACGGCCCAGACUCCUACGGGAGGCAGCAGUGGGGAAUAUUGGACAAUGGGCGAAAGCCUGAUCCAGCAAUGCCGCGUGAGUGAUGAAGGCCUUAGGGUUGUAAAGCUCUUUUACCCGGGAUGAUAAUGACAGUACCGGGAGAAUAAGCUCCGGCUAACUCCGUG